UCUUAUACAACUUUCAACAACGGAUCUCUUGGCUCUCGCAUCGAUGAAGAACGCAGCGAAAUGCGAUAACUAAUGUGAAUUGCAAAAUUCAGUGAAUCAUCGAGUCUUUGAACGCACCUUGCGCCCUUUGGUAUUCCGAAGGGCAUGCCUGUUUG
rnacentral:rRNA from 1 species